GGAGAGUGGGGAUGAGUCAAUCAUCAUGCCCCUUAUGACCUGGGCUACACACGUUGCUACAAUGGUUGGUACAACGAGUUGCGAGUCNGUGACGGNAAGCUAAUCUCUUAAAGCNNNUCUCAGUUCGGAUUGUAGGCUGCAACUCGCCUACAUGAAGUCGGAAUCGCUAGUAAUCGCGGAUCAGCACGCCGCGGUGAAUACGUUCCCGGGCCUUGUACACACCGCCCGUCACACCACGAGAGUUUGUAACACCCGAAGUCGGUGAGGUAACCUUUUGGAANCC
rnacentral:rRNA from 1 species